rnacentral:rRNA from 1 species
GAUGAGCGCUGACGGCGUGCCUAAUACAUGCAAGUCGAGCGAACGGACGAGAAGCUUGCUUCUCUGAUGUUAGCGGCGGACGGGUGAGUAACACGUGGAUAACCUACCUAUAAGACUGGGAUAACUUCGGGAAACCGGAGCUAAUACCGGAUAAUAUUUUGAACCGCAUGGUUCAAAAGUGAAAGACGGUCUUGCUGUCACUUAUAGAUGGAUCCGCGCUGCAUUAGCUAGUUGGUAAGGUAACGGCUUACCAAGGCAACGAUGCAUAGCCGACCUGAGAGGGUGAUCGGCCACACUGGAACUGAGACACGGUCCAGACUCCUACGGGAGGCAGCAGUAGGGAAUCUUCCGCAAUGGGCGAAAGCCUGACGGAGCAACGCCGCGUGAGUGAUGAAGGUCUUCGGAUCGUAAAACUCUGUUAUUAGGGAAGAACAUAUGUGUAAGUAACUGUGCACAUCUUGACGGUACCUAAUCAGAAAGCCACGGCUAACUACGUG